UAGGGAAUCUUCCGCAAUGGGCGAAAGCCUGACGGAGCAACGCCGCGUGAGUGAUGAAGGUCUUCGGAUCGUAAAACUCUGUUAUUAGGGAAGAACAAAUGUGUAAGUAACUAUGCACGUUUUGACGGUACCUAAUCAGAAAGCAACGGCUAACUACGUGCCAGCAGCCGCGGUAAUACGUAGGUGGCAAGCGUUAUCCGGAAUUAUUGGGCGUAAAGCGCGCGUAGGCGGUUUUUUAAGUCUGAUGUGAAAGCCCACGGCUCAACCGUGGAGGGUCAUUGGAAACUGGAAAACUUGAGUGCAGAAGAGGAAAGUGGAAUUCCAUGUGUAGCGGUGAAAUGCGCAGAGAUAUGGAGGAACACCAGUGGCGAAGGCGACUUUCUGGUCUGUAACUGACGCUGAUGUGCGAAAGCGUGGGGAUCAAACAGG
rnacentral:rRNA from 1 species